rnacentral:rRNA from 1 species
GACGUAGGAGGCGAGCGUUGUCCGGAUUCAUUGGGCGUAAAGAGCGCGCAGGCGGCUUGGUAAGUCGGAUGUGAAAUCCCGAGGCUCAACCUCGGGUCUGCAUCCGAUACUGCCCGGCUAGAGGUAGGUAGGGGAGAUCGGAAAUUCCUGGUGUAGCGGUGAAAUGCGCAGAUAUCAGGAGGAACACCGGUGGCGAAGGCGGCAUCCUGGACCAACACUGACGCUGAGGAGCGAAAGCCAGGGGAGCAAACGGG